rnacentral:rRNA from 1 species
CAAUAGCAUAUAUUAACGUUGUUGCAGUUGAAAAGCUCGUAGUUGAACUUUUGGUAGGAGCGACCUGGCCUUGGGCGCAUGCCCUUGUUUGCCGUGUGUCGUAUCUGGCCAUCCUUUUCCAUUUCGGCGGGAAUCUUUUACUGUGAGUAAACUGGAGUGCUCAAAACAAGACGUUUGUUUGGUACAUUAAGGCAUGGAAUAAUAAGAUAGGACCUGGUUACUAUUUUGUUGGUUUGCAUAGCUAGGUAAUGAUUAACAGGGACAGUUGGGGGUAUUCGUAUUUAAUUGUCAGAGGUGAAAUUCUUGGAUUUAUGAAAGACGAACGACUGCGAAAGCAUUUACCAAGGAUGUUUUCAUUAA